CUGAGUACGGCGGAACACGUGAAAUUCCGUCGGAAUCCGGGAGGACCAUCUCCCAAGGCUAAAUACUCCCUAGUGACCGAUAGUGAACCAGUACCGUGAGGGAAAGGUGAAAAGCACCCCGGAAGGGGAGUGAAACAGUUCCUGAAACCGUGUGCCUACAAGUAGUUAGAGCCCGUUAAUGGGUGAUAGCGUGCCUUUUGUAGAAUGAACCGGCGAGUUACGAUUUGUUGCAAGGUUAAGCGGAAAAAGCGGAGCCGUAGCGAAAGCGAGUCUGAAUAGGGCGCAUAAGUAACAGGUCGUAGACCCGAAACCAGGUGAUCUACCCAUGUCCAGGAUGAAGGUAAGGUAAUACUUACUGGAGGUCCGAACCCACGCACGUUGAAAAGUGCGGGGAUGAGGUGUGGGUAGCGGAGAAAUUCCAAUCGAACUUGGAGAUAGCUGGUUCUCUCCGAAAUAGCUUUAGGGCUAGCCUCGAGGUAAAGAGUCAUGGAGGUAGAGCACUGUUUGGACUAGGGGCCCUUCUCGGGUUACCGAAUUCAGAUAAACUCCGAAUGCCAUGUACUUAUACUCGGGAGUCAGACUGCGAGUGAUAAGAUCCGUAGUCGAAAGGGAAACAGCCCAGACCACCAGUUAAGGUCCCCAAAUAUAUGUUAAGUGGAAAAGGAUGUGGGGUUGCUUAGACAACCAGGAUGUUGGCUUAGAAGCAGCCACCAUUGAAAGAGUGCGUAAUAGCUCACUGGUCGAGUGACCCCGCGCCGAAAAUGUACCGGGGCUAAACAUAUUACCGAAACUGUGGAUGAACCUCUUUAGAGGUUCGUGGUAGGAGAGCGUUCUAAGGGCGGUGAAGUCAGACCGGAAGGACUGGUGGAGCGCUUAGAAGUGAGAAUGCCGGUAUGAGUAGCGAAAGAAGGGUGAGAAUCCCUUCCACCGAAUAUCUAAGGUUUCCUGAGGAAGGCUCGUCCGCUCAGGGUUAGUCGGGACCUAAGCCGAGGCCGAUAGGCGUAGGCGAUGGACAACAGGUAGAGAUUCCUGUACCAGUGCUAAUUGUUUAACCGAUGGGGUGACACAGAAGGAUAGGGAAUCGCACGAAUGGAAAUGUGCGUCCAAGCAGUGAGUGUGAGAAGUAGGCAAAUCCGCUUCUCGCGAAGCAUGAGCUGUGAUGGGGAAGGAAAUUAAGUACGGAAGUUCCUGAUUUCACGCUGUCAAGAAAAGCCUCUAGGAAGAGUAGUACUGCCCGUACCGCAAACCGACACAGGUAGAUGAGGAGAGAAUCCUAAGGUGAGCGAGAGAACUCUCGUUAAGGAACUCGGCAAAAUGACCCCGUAACUUCGGGAGAAGGGGUGCUCUAUUAGGGUGCAAGCCCGAGAGAGCCGCAGUGAAUAGGCCCAGGCGACUGUUUAGCAAAAACACAGGUCUCUGCAAAACCGUAAGGUGACGUAUAGGGGCUGACGCCUGCCCGGUGCUGGAAGGUUAAGAGGAGUGCUUAGCUUCGGCGAAGGUACGAAUUGAAGCCCCAGUAAACGGCGGCCGUAACUAUAACGGUCCUAAGGUAGCGAAAUUCCUUGUCGGGUAAGUUCCGACCCGCACGAAAGGCGCAACGAUCUGGGCACUGUCUCAACGAGAGACUCGGUGAAAUUAUAGUAC
rnacentral:rRNA from 1 species